CAGUCGCCGCGGGAAUACGGAGGGUGCAAGCGUUAAUCGGAAUUACUGGGCGUAAAGCGCACGCAGGCGGUUUGUUAAGUCAGAUGUGAAAUCCCCGAGCUUAACUUGGGAACUGCAUUUGAAACUGGCAAGCUAGAGUCUUGUAGAGGGGGGUAGAAUUCCAGGUGUAGCGGUGAAAUGCGUAGAGAUCUGGAGGAAUACCGAUGGCGAAGGCAGCCAUCUGGCCUAACACUGACGCUGAGGUACGAAAGCAUGGGGAGCAAACAGGAUUAGAUACCCCAGUAGUCCCUGUCUCUUAUAC
rnacentral:rRNA from 1 species